UACGGGGGGGCAAGCGUUGUUCGGAAUUACUGGGCGUAAAGGGUGCGUAGGUGGCCGGGUAAGUCUGACGUGAAAUCUCCGAGCCUAACUCGGAAACUGCGUCGGAUACUAUCCGGCUUAAGGGUUGAGGGGGGGACUGGAAUACUUGGUGUAGCAGUGAAAUGCGUAGAUAUCAAGUGGACACCAGUGCGAAGGCGAGUCCCUGGACAAGCUCCUGAGCCA
rnacentral:rRNA from 1 species